rnacentral:rRNA from 1 species
UGAUCCUGUCCGGAGGCCACUGCUAUCGGAGUUCGAUUAAGCCAUGCGAGUCGAGAGUGUGCAAGAACUCGGCAUACUGCUCAGUAACACGUGGACAGUCUAACCUACGGAGGGGGAUAACCCCGGUGAAACUGGGGAUAAUACCCCAUAGACUAUGGAUGCUGGAAUGCACUGUAGUUGAAAGGUCCGCCGCCGUAUGAUGGGUCUGCGGCCGAUUAGGUUGUUGUUGGGGUAACGUGCCCAACAAGCCUGUAAUCGGUACGGGUUGUGGGAGCAAGAGCCCGGAGAUGGAUUCUGAGACACGAAUCCAGGCCCUACGGGGCGCAGCAGGCGCGAAAACUUUACAAUAGCGGGAAACCGUGAUAGGGGAACUCCGAGUGCCCGUUAAAUCGGGCUGUCCAUUGGUUUAAAUAACCAGUGAAGAAAGGGCCGGGCAAGACCGGUGCCAGCCGCCGCGGUAAUACCGGCGGCUCGAGUGGUGGCCACUAUUACUGGGCUUAAAGCCGUUCGUAGCUGGUUUGUUACGUCUCUGGGGAAAUCUUCCGGAUUAACCGGAAGGCGUCUCACGGUAUACUGGCAGACUAAGGACCGGGAGAGGUAGGCGUACCCAAGGUAAGAGUGAAUCCUGUAUCCUUGGGGGACAACUGUGGCGAUGCGCUCACCAGAAGGCACGAAGUGAGGAGAAGCUGGGGAGCAACGGAA